CAGACCUACAGCAAUUCCUCUAGAGGCCUCCUCUCCAAAUGCAGAAUAAUUUUCUAAGGGAUUGAUGGCGAUUGCCAAAACCUCUCUGCCCUGAAGCCAGCAAGUGGAAACGUUUCCGUUUCUCCUCUGGAUCUGACCCGAAGUCCCGGGACCCGAUGCCAUUCUGAAGAUUUAUUAGUGAAUCCUUCAUCUGCAAGACAAGAAAUUUCUCCACUGUGAUGCUACCCUACAGGUGAGAGCGCUUCAGGGUUUCCUUCCUCAUUGGUGCCUCCUCCGUCCAUGUAAAGUACCAAUACCAGAAUCAUCUGGUUUUUGGGAACGGCGCGUCAGGGCUUGGAUGUACAAAUGGGGACUGAGGAGACGGGAGCCCGUGAGAGACCAUUCCCCAAGAUAACAGAGAAGGGGCGAGCAGAAUGAGGUACAGGGUGCGUGGCUCUCUCCAUAGGGGAGGACGGCUUUCAUUUAUGAACCCUGUUCCUAGCAGCCUGGUGUACAAGCAGCUCUUCAGGCAGCGGAUACUGAAACCCCUGGCUUUGUGCUAUUAAGGGCCCAGGCAGAGCAUGUCCCCCGCUUCAUCCGUGCAAGCUACGUAUGAAUCCAGGGUUGAGAAUUCUAUCCUUGACAUGUGCAGACCCCUGUGAGGUGACGGAGAAGCUGCGGUAUCCUGCAAAUAACCCUUGGGACCUGCUGCUCACCGCUACGUCAGAAGACGGAUCUAGAGGGAGGCAGCAGCGGAGGUGACGCACUUGAGGGACUACAGUGGAACCAGAAAUCGUCUCUCAACGGUCCAGCUUCUUCCUGAGAUGGUAUCUCUCAUCAAAAUCGCCACCCAGGACCAGACGUGAAUAGGUUUUGCCAGACCAAAGAAGUGACAGACUUCUCACAUACACUGAGCCCUGUUGUGAUAGCACAGUAAUUCCCAGAGAGCUUUGCGUGGUCAUCUUUCAUGAUAACAGCUAGUUUGUUGGCAGAUUACAUUAAAUGACUUAUUUUAAAUUAAAAGACCCCCCACAGUUCCUAGAAACCUCUAAACUGAGUCCCUGAAAUAAAAAAGACUCUCUCUACUUGUUGGAUUUCUUCU